rnacentral:rRNA from 1 species
GAGUUUGAUCAUGGUUCAGAUUGAACGCUGGCGGCAUGCCUUACACAUGCAAAUCGAACGGCAGCAUGAUCUAGCUUGCUAGAUUGAUGGCGAGUGGCGAACGGGUGAGUAAUACAUCGGAACGUGCCCUGUAGUGGGGGAUAACUAGUCGAAAGAUUAGCUAAUACCGCAUACGACCUGAGGGUGAAAGUGGGGGACCGCAAGGCCUCAUGCUAUAGGAGCGGCCGAUGUCUGAUUAGCUAGUUGGUGAGGUAAAGGCUCACCAAGGCGACGAUCAGUAGCUGGUCUGAGAGGACGAUCAGCCACACUGGGACUGAGACACGGCCCAGACUCCUACGGGAGGCAGCAGUGGGGAAUUUUGGACAAUGGGGGCAACCCUGAUCCAGCAAUGCCGCGUGUGUGAAGAAGGCCUUCGGGUUGUAAAGCACUUUUGUCCGGAAAGAAAUCGCACUUACUAAUAUUAGGUGUGGAUGACGGUACCGGAAGAAUAAGGACCGGCUAACUACGUGCCAGCAGCCGCGGUAAUACGUAGGGUCCAAGCGUUAAUCGGAAUUACUGGGCGUAA